CCUACGGGUGGCAGCAGUGAGGAAUAUUGGUCAAUGGGCGGGAGUCUGAACCAGCCAUGCCGCGUGCGGGAAGAAGGUACUGCGUAUUGUAAACCUCUUUUGUCAGGGAACAAAGGCGGGGACUAGUCCCCGGAUGAGGGUACCGGAAGAAAAAGCAUCGGCUAACUCCGUGCCAGCAGCCGCGGUAAUACGGAGGAUGCGAGCGUUAUCCGGAUUUAUUGGGUUUAAAGGGUGCGCAGGCGGCCGGUUAAGUAAGCGGUAAAAGCCCGGGGCUCAACCCCGGCGAGCCGUUGAAACUGGCGGGCUGGAGAGGGGGUGAAGUAGGCGGAAUGCGCGGUGUAGCGGUGAAAUGCUUAGAUAUCGCGCAGAACCCCGAUUGCGAAGGCAGCGUACC
rnacentral:rRNA from 1 species